rnacentral:misc_RNA from 1 species
ACCCAUGACUACGAAGUGAAGAUGCGGAACGUGGUCAAGUUUCUGGAAAAGGGCGACAAGGUCAAGGUGACCCUGCGCUUCCGCGGCCGCGAGAUGGCGCACCAGAAUCUGGGGCGCGAACUGUUGGAGCGCGUGGCCGAGGACGUGAAGGAAAUCGGCAAGAUCGAGAACAUGCCGAAGAUGGAAGGCCGCCAGAUGAUCAUGAUGAUCGGGCCGCUGCCGCAGAAGUAACACGGCACCCGUACAGGGCAUCAAGGCUCCCUCGACCCGAGGGAGCCUUUUUCGUUGACCGGUUCAGAUCACCCGCGCCAUCGCGCGACCCAGCUUUUCGA